UAGUCCACGCCGUAAACGAUGGAUGCUAGCCGUUGGGCAGUUUACUGUUCAGUGGCGCAGCUAACGCAUUAAGCAUCCCGCCUGGGGAGUACGGUCGCAAGAUUAAAACUCAAAGGAAUUGACGGGGGCCCGCACAAGCGGUGGAGCAUGUGGUUUAAUUCGAUGCAACGCGAAGAACCUUACCUACUCUUGACAUCUAGAGAAGCUUGCAGAGAUGCGAGUGUGCCUUCGGGAACUCUGAGACAGGUGGUGCAUGGCUGUCGUCAGCUCGCGCCGUGAGGUGUCGGGUUAAGUCCCAUAACGAGCGCAACCCCUAUCGUUAGUUGCUAGCAGGUAAUGCUGAGAACUCUAGCGAGACUGCCACCGUAAGGUGUGAGGAAGGUGGGGAUGACGUCAAAUCAGCACGGCCCUUACGUCCAGGGCUACACACGUGUUACAAUGGCAGGUACAAAGGGCAGCUACAUAGCGAUAUGAUGCUAAUCUA
rnacentral:rRNA from 1 species